rnacentral:rRNA from 1 species
AUUGAACGCUGGCGGCAUGCCUUACACAUGCAAGUCGAACGGCAGCACGGGUGCUUGCACCUGGUGGCGAGUGGCGAACGGGCGAGUAACACGUGGGUGAUCUGCCCUGCACUUCGGGAUAAGCCUGGGAAACUGGGUCUAAUACCGGAUAGGACUCCGGACUGCAUGGUCUGGGGUGGAAAGCUUUUGCGGUGUGGGAUGGGCGCGCGGCCUAUCAGCUUGUUGGUGGGGUGAUGGCCUACCAAGGCGACGACGGGUAGCCGGCCUGAGAGGGUGACCGGCCACACUGGGACUGAGAUACGGCCCAGACUCCUACGGGAGGCAGCAGUGGGGAAUAUUGCACAAUGGGCGCAAGCCUGAUGCAGCGACGCCGCGUGAGGGAUGACGGCCUUCGGGUUGUAAACCUCUUUCAGCAUCGACGAAGCGAAAGUGACGGUAGGUGCAGAAGAAGGACCGGCCAACUACGUGCCAGCCGCCGCCGUAA